AUCCAACUGACGAGUCGCAAAUAAGACGAAAGGCUUGCCAAACUGGAU
rnacentral:hammerhead_ribozyme from 1 species